AAAGAAAUAAAUCAAAAAGCUUCUAACUUUUAAAAAAGCAUUUCCAAUUGUUUAU
rnacentral:tRNA from 1 species